UACGUAGGGGGCAAGCGUUGUCCGGAAUCAUUGGGCGUAAAGGGCGCGCAGGCGGCCCGGAAAGUCGGAUGUGAAAACUCGAGGCUCAACCUCGAGCGUGCACCCGAUACUGCCGGGCUUGAGGCAGGUAGGGGAGAUCGGAAUUCCUGGUGUAGCGGUGAAAUGCGCAGAUAUCAGGAGGAACACCGGUGGCGAAGGCGGAUCUCUGGGCCUGUCCUGACGCUGAGGCGCGAAAGCUAGGGGAGCGAACAGG
rnacentral:rRNA from 1 species